CUGGUUUCAGUGUAUGACAGCUUGGGUAAGUAUACUGGGUCUGGAUGGGGUUAAGUGUCUCCAUAGCAGCCUGAACCUUUCUCUGCUUUAGAUUUGUGACCAAAGCAGUGCUGAUAACACACCCAUGUUUUAGCUACUGUUGAGCAGUGCUUGCACAGCAUCAAGACCUUCUUUGUUUCUCACUCUGCCCCCGCAGCAAGUAGGCUGGGGGUUGGCAAGAGGCUGGGAGGGGACGCAGCUGAGACAGCUGACCCCAACCAACCAAAGAGAUAUUCCACACCAUAUGAUGUGCUCAGCAAUAAACGCUGAGUCUUUGGAAAGUAGCCAUUGCUCGGAGACUGGCUGAGCAUCGGUCUGCUGGUGGGAGGUGCUACUUGUGGGGGUCACUCUACCACAACGAAAGUCUGCAUCUGUGAUCUGACCACUAUGAAGAGACAGAUAAAAAGUACCAUUUUGAAUGUCCAUAAGAAGCACGGUCUCUGAGAGAAAAGUGAUGAUGUGUUGCAGCCACUGGAAUUGAUAUAGAACAUCAAACCACUCUUACACAAAGAAAAAACAGACUUUUUUCCUUCUUCAUCUACCACACUUCAUGUGGCCUGUUCCCAAAAUGUGGCCACAAAGUGUGGUCCACAGUCUGGCUGAUCAUUAGAGGCUGCAGAACCUUUUCAGCUAUGUUGGGACCUGCAUAAAUAUUGCAGUUUUCAGGGAAUAAGGGUUUUAAGACCACCAAUCAUCAGGAAUUAUCAAAGACUUUAGUCCCUAGAGUGUCUUGUGUCCUGCUCCUUGAGUAACCAUCCAGAAAGAAGAAUGGAAUUGCUUCUCCAGAGAGUCAGAGGACAAAGGCUAGUCAAAAAUAAAACAAUGUUCUAAGGAAGUCCUUGAA